UCGUUUAGUUUAAGGGUGCGAGGCUCGCGAAGCCUCAUUGUAUGCGCAUCAUUCAGAGCAAGUCAAACAACUCCAAACGUACACCAUGUGCGCAAGUAUAAAAGGCGUCGGACACGGCCACAGUGGCCGUGUUAUCAACUACCCAUCUUCCCACUCAAAAAAGUCCCCGUUUUCUAUUGGCCCUACCUUCCGUACCUGCUGUGUACCGCCUGCUCUGAUCAAACUCUCAUGGCAUUCAAUUCGAUGACUCAUCAGGAAUUGGAAAUUGUGCAGGGUCCCGCUGGAACCGUGGAGCAGGCGUGUCCACGUCGGCGGCGGCGCAUGCCGUUGAUGAACCGAUGGACGGUGUCAAGUGGAGAUAUUUUCGCAGCCCAAAUUGGUGGUCGUCGGCGCACGGUGCCGCGAGGCUGACGCGGGCGGGCCCCCAUGGGAAGGGAAUCUUGGGUGCAUCGGAGCCUUUUGGUGCCAUGUGGACCUGGAGGUGGUGGCCUCGGACCCGGCCGGAUCCUAGUCCGUGGCCCGAGCAGGAU